rnacentral:rRNA from 1 species
AGUGAACGCUGGCGGUAUGCCUAACACAUGCAAGUCGAACGGCCGCACAGUAAGCGCUUGCUCUUACGGGUGGCGAGUGGCGGACGGGUGAGGAAUACAUCGGAAUCUACUUUUUCUUGGGUGAUAACGUAGGGAAACUUCCGCUACUACCUCAUACGACCUACGGGUGAAAGCAGGGGUUCUUCGGACCUUUCGCGAUUGAAUGAGCCGAUGUCGGAUUAGCUAGUUGGCGGGGUAAAGUCCCACCAAGGCGACGAUCCGUAGCUGGUCUGAGAGGAUGAUCAGCCACACUGGAACUGAGACACGGUCCAGACUCCUACGGGAGGCAGCAGUGGGGAAUAUUGGACAAUGGGCGCAAGCCUGAUCCAGCCAUACCGCGUGGGUGAAGAAGGCCUUCGGGUUGUAAAGCCCUUUUGUUGGGAAAGAAAAGCAGCAGGUUAAUACCCCGCUGUUCUGACGGUACCCAAAGAAUAAGCACCGGCUAACUUCGU